UUGCAUGGCUGUACCAGUCAUACUCUUUGGUUUUAGGAGUAUGGAUCUACAGUCUUGCUAGAGCAAUACAUGAGUUAACAGGGCCACCAGUCUCUAAAGUACAGGCUGUAGUGGUAGUAUAAAACUCACACAAUC